rnacentral:rRNA from 1 species
GAUGAACGCUGGCGGCGUGCCUAAUACAUGCAAGUCGAGCGAAUGGAUUAAGAGCUUGCUCUUAUGAAGUUAGCGGCGGACGGGUGAGUAACACGUGGGUAACCUGCCCAUAAGACUGGGAUAACUCCGGGAAACCGGGGCUAUAGCGGAUAACAUUUUGAACCGCAUGUUUCGCAAUUGAAGGGAGGCUUCGGCUGUCACUUAUGGAUGGACCCGGGUCGCAUUAGCUAGUUGGUGAGGUAACGGCUCACCAAGGAAACGAUGCGUAGCCGACCUGAGAGGGUGAUCGGCCACACUGGGACUGAGACACGGCCCAGACUCCUACGGGAGGCAGCAGUAGGGAAUCUUCCGCAAUGGACGAAAGUCUGACGGAGCAACGCCGCGUGAGUGAUGAAGGCUUUCGGGUCGUAAAACUCUGUUGUUAGGGAAGAACAAGUGCUAGUUGAAUAAGCUGGCACCUUGACGGUACCUAACCAGAAAGCCACGGCUAACUACGUGCCAGCCGCCGCUGUAA